GCUUAACUCCAGAAACGCAUCGCACGAUCCUUCUCCAGCUACCGGCACGAGCCAGCCCGCUCCUCCACCUCCCUGAUCACGAUUUCAUUCACUUCAUGGAAGCUAGCUUGCUAUGAUGGAGUGCUUGCUUUUCCUUUGAUGAAACUUUGCAUUGUAUCUAGCUUGCUAAGAUAGAACUUGCUAUCUUGGCCAAACUUUGCAUUGUAAUAUGUAUAUGGAUGGAACUUGCUUAUGUAUGAACAAUGUGUAUGGAUGGAACUUGCUUAUGUAUGAACAAUGUGUAUGGAUGAAACUUAUGUGCUGGAUAUGUGAUAUG